AUUUGAAUUUUUUCAUGGUUCUCGGCCAUUUGUAUUUCUUUAGCAAAUUGUUUGCUUGUACCCCUUAACUAUUUUUCCACAGAGCUGUGUCUUUUUUCCCUGUUUUAGUAAAAUUCAUAUUAAGAUUAUAACUUUUACAAAUAUCUGUCCCUGUUUACUUAUGUUUUAACUGUGUUUAUGUAUUUCCUCCUUUGCCUAGAUAUUUUGUUAUGUAAUCAAAUAUGGGAAUUUUUUUAUUCUUUAUGUCAUUAUUUUUGGCCACAUGCUAGUAUUUUUUUUAUAUUUAAAUUUAAUUCAUCUGUGUAAGUCUUUUGUUUGAUUUGCUUUGGGGUUUGGUGUUCAUGUUAGAGUCUGCCUUUAAAAUCUGACCACAAUUAAUCGACUAAUCUGUUCUUUGAAUUAAAAUGUUGUGAUGUUAUUCCUAGUUUUGAUUAUUUCUUCUUUCUUAGGCGGAUGUAGCCGUUUUAGUUGUAGACGCCAGCAGGGGAGAGUUUGAAGCUGGAUUUGAGACUGGGGGACAAACACGGGAACAUGGCCUUUUGGUUCGUUCUCUUGGAGUCACACAGCUUGCGGUUGCGGUCAAUAAGAUGGAUCAGGUUAAUUGGCAACAAGAAAGGUUUCAAGAGAUUACUGGAAAGCUUGGGCACUUUCUUAAGCAAGCAGGUUUUAAGGAAAGUGAUGUAGCUUUUAUCCCUACAAGUGGUCUCAGUGGUGAAAAUCUAAUCACAAGAUCUCAAUCGAGUGAACUCACAAAAUGGUAUAAAGGACUAUGUUUAUUAGAACAAAUUGGUAAGUAUACUGCCAUACUGAUUUUGAUGCAUUGUAAGCUUGAUGUUAUUUAGAGUUCUUUUUU